UACGUAGGGUGCAAGCGUUGUCCGGAUUUAUUGGGCGUAAAGGGCUAGUAGGCGGCUUAGCAAGUCGGGUGUGAAAUCUUCAGGCUUAACCUGGAGCGGCCACUCGAUACUGCUAUGGCUAGAGUCCGGUAGGGGACCACGGAAUUCCUGGUGUAGCGGUGAAAUGCGCAGAUAUCAGGAGGAACACCAAUGGCGAAGGCAGUGGUCUGGGCCGGUACUGACGCUGAAUAGCGAAAGCGUGGGGAGCGAACAGG
rnacentral:rRNA from 1 species